UGGGAUGAAGGACUGAUUUUAUUAAAGCAAGGUUAACAGAUAAACCAUUAAUAUGAACAGAACACUGCAGGAACUCUCUAGAUCUAAUUCACCACUGCAGUAACACUUGACUGAUCAUCUAAUGAACUACAAAUACAAUACCCUAAUUAAACUAUUAGUCAAAAUGCUACAAUGCUUGCAUAGAAUACAAUAAUCCAUGGUAAAUAAAUUUUCACUGAAACUAAAAACUAUGUUUUCUUGCUUGAUUCUUUUGCAUCAGGAAGCAGAAUUGCAAAGUGUUAGAACUUCCGAGCAUCUCAUUCUACCUAUAAUUACUGCCAUCCUCAAUACAAAAUUCAUUUUUCGUUCCAAAUUUCAUUCUAACUUUAGCCUAGAGAGAAGACAAAAUACUAUAAGUCUAGCCUCAAAAGAGCAUAGCAUAGCAUGCAGAACAGCAUAAUACUAUAGAAAACCUCAAUUCCUUAUUGCAAACCAUGGGACGAUCAAGAAUCAAUAGCAAUUGUGAACGAAAUCAAUUAAAAAAAAGGGAAUAAGCAUUAAUUGUACUAAUACUGUAAUACAAAUCUUUCUGCA
rnacentral:misc_RNA from 1 species